UACGGGGGGAGCAAGCGUUGUUCGGAUUUACUGGGCGUAAAGGGCGCGUAGGCGGCCAGCACAAGUCAGUUGUGAAAUCUCCGAGCUUAACUCGGAACGGUCAACUGAUACUGUGCGGCUAGAGUGCAGAAGGGGCAACUGGAAUUCUUGGUGUAGCGGUGAAAUGCGUAGAUAUCGAGAGGAACACCAGUGGCGCAAGCGGCUGACUGGCCGAGACCUGACGCUGAGACACGACGGCGUGGGGAGCAAACCGG
rnacentral:rRNA from 1 species